GGCCCCGUAGCUCAGUCGGUUUAGAGCGCCAGGCUGUCAAUCUGGAGGUCGGCGGUUCGAGCCCGCUCGGGGUCGCCA
rnacentral:tRNA from 1 species